rnacentral:lncRNA from 1 species
GAGAAAUAAUGAGUGGAGAUUAAGGAAAUCAGAAUUUUGGGAAGGAUAAAGUGAGUGUAAUAAGUGGUUAGUGGGUAUUAAUGAGGGGUGGGGCCCACACAAAAUCCAAAAUUUUCAAAAAAAAUUCAAAUCCACAGGCCUGACACGGGCAGGCGUGUCAGGCCACUGUCUCUUCACUUUCAUGGGCAUGGUCUUCAGUACUCCUAACACGGGCGGCCGUGUCAG